AUUGAACGCUGGCGGCAGGCCUAACACAUGCAAGUCGAGCGAGCGGCGGACGGGUGAGUAAUGUCUGGGAAACUGCCUGAUGGAGGGGGAUAACUACUGGAACCGGUAGCUAAUACCGCAUACCAUCAGAUGUGCCCAGAUGGGAAUGGCUAGUUGGUGGGGUAACGGCUCACCAAGGCGACGAUCCCUAGCUGGUCUGAGAGGAUGACCAGCCACACGGUACUGGAGACACUGUCCGUACUCCUACGGGAGGCAGCAGUGGUGAAUAUGGCACAAUGGGCUCAAGCCUGAUACAGCCAUGCCGCGUGUAUGAAGAAGGCCUUAGGGUUGUAAAGUACUUUCAGCGGGGAGGCGUUACCCGCAGAAGAAGCACCGGCUAACUCCGUGCCAGCCGCCGCGGUAAUAC
rnacentral:rRNA from 1 species